AACGAACGCUGGCGGCAGGCCUAACACAUGCAAGUCGAGCGAGGACUUCGGUUCUAGCGGCGGACGGGUGAGUAACGCGUGGGAAUGUGCCCUUCUCUACGGAAUAGCCCUGGGAAACUGGGAGUAAUACCGUAUACGCCCUAUUGGGGAAAGAUUUAUCGGAGAAGGAUCAGCCCGCGUUGGAUUAGGUAGUUGGUGGGGUAAUGGCCUACCAAGCCGACGAUCCAUAGCUGGUUUGAGAGGAUGAUCAGCCACACUGGGACUGAGACACGGCCCAGACUCCUACGGGAGGCAGCAGUAGGGAAUCUUAGACAAUGGGGGCAACCCUGAUCUAGCCAUGCCGCGUGAGUGAUGAAGGCCUUAGGGUUGUAAAGCUCUUUCAGCUGGGAAGAUAAUGACGGUACCAGCAGAAGAAGCCCCGGCUAACUCCGUG
rnacentral:rRNA from 1 species